rnacentral:rRNA from 1 species
UGUCGUAGUCCGGAUUGGAGUCUGCAACUCGACUCCAUGAAGUCGGAAUCGCUAGUAAUCGUAGAUCAGAAUGCUACGGUGAAUACGUUCCCGGGCCUUGUACACACCGCCCGUCACACCAUGGGAGUGGGUUGCAAAAGAAGUAGGUAGCUUAACCUUCGGGAGGGCGCUUACCACUUUGUGAUUCAUGACUGGGGUGAAGUCGUAACAAGGUAACCGUAGGGGAACCUGCGGUUGGAUCACCUCCUUACCUUAAAGAA